rnacentral:rRNA from 1 species
CCUACGGGAGGCAGCAGUGAGGAAUAUUGGUCAAUGGACGGAAGUCUGAACCAGCCAUGCCGCGUGCAGGAAGACGGCUCUAUGAGUUGUAAACUGCUUUUGUACAAGGGUAAACCUGAAUACGUGUAUUCAGCUGAGAGUACUGUACGAAUAAGGAUCGUCUAACUCCGUGCCAGCAGCCGCGGUAAUACGGAGGAUCCAAGCGUUAUUCGGAUUUAUUGGGUUUAAAGGGUGCGUAGGCGGAUUGAUAAGUUAGAGGGGAAAUGUCCGAGCUUAACUCGGGAACUGCCUCUAAUACUGUUGAUCUAGAGAGUAGAUGCGGUAGGCGGAAUGUAUGGUGUAGCGGUGAAAUGCUUAGAGAUCAUACAGAACACCGAUUGCGAAGGCAGCUUACCAAUCUAUAUCUGACGUUGAGGCACGAAAGCGUGGGGAGCAAACAGGAUUAGAUACCCUUGUAGUC